rnacentral:rRNA from 1 species
CCUACGGGAGGCAGCAGUAGGGAAUAUUGCUCAAUGGGGGAAACCCUGAAGCAGCAACGCCGCGUGGAGGAUGAAGGUUUUCGGAUUGUAAACUCCUUUUGUUAGAGAAGAUAAUGACGGUAUCUAACGAAUCAGCACCGGCUAACUCCGUGCCAGCAGCCGCGGUAAUACGGAGGGUGCAAGCGUUACUCGGAAUCACUGGGCGUAAAGAGCGCGUAGGCGGGAUAGCAAGUCAGAUGUGAAAUCCUAUGGCUUAACCAUAGAACUGCAUUUGAAACUGUUAUUCUAGAGUGUGGGAGAGGUAGGUGGAAUUCUUGGUGUAGGGGUAAAAUCCGUAGAGAUCAAGAGGAAUACUCAUUGCGAAGGCGACCUGCUAGAACAUAACUGACGCUGAUGCGCGAAAGCGUGGGGAGCAAACAGGAUUAGAUACCCCAGUAGUC